AGAGAGCUUGCUCUCGGGUGACGAGCGGCGGACGGGUGAGUAAUGUCUGGGAAACUGCCUGAUGGAGGGGGAUAACUACUGGAAACGGUAGCUAAUACCGCAUAACGUCGCAAGACCAAAGUGGGGGACCUUCGGGCCUCAUGCCAUCAGAUGUGCCCAGAUGGGAUUAGCUGGUAGGUGGGGUAACGGCUCACCUAGGCGACGAUCCCUAGCUGGUCUGAGAGGAUGACCAGCCACACUGGAACUGAGACACGGUCCAGACUCCUACGGGAGGCAGCAGUGGGGAAUAUUGCACAAUGGGCGCAAGCCUGAUGCAGCCAUGCCGCGUGUGUGAAGAAGGCCUUCGGGUUGUAAAGCACUUUCAGCGGGGAGGAAGGCGGUGAGGUUAAUAACCUUGUCGAUUGACGUUACCCGCAGAAGAAGCACCGGCUAACUCCGUGCCAGCAGCCGCGGUAAUACGG
rnacentral:rRNA from 1 species